rnacentral:misc_RNA from 1 species
AACGCACAUUGCGCCCCCUGGUAUUCCGGGGGGCAUGCCUGUCCGAGCGUCAUUGCUGCCCUCAAGCCCGGCUUGUGUGUUGGGUCGCCGUCCUCCCCUCCCGGGGGGGACGGGCCCGAAAGGCAGCGGCGACUUCGCGUCCGGUCCUCGAGCGUAUGGGGCCUCGUCACUCCGCUCUAGUAGGAACGGCCGAUAGUCUGCCGACUUACCAACCUUUUUUUUUCCAGGUUGACCUCGGAUCAGGUAGGGAUACCCGCUGAACUUAA